AAAGUCAGUGUGGGCGGGAUGGAGCAGAUCCACAGGCUCCCAGGGCCACACAGGUUCCUAUGGGGCCCGGCUCACCCCUCAUCCCCUGUACUGCGCUGGUCCUGGGCUGUCCCCUCACUGCACUGUGAGCUCCCGUAAGGGUUAGCGACAGGUUUUCCUCAUCCUGGCAGACCCAGACCUCGAAGGGAAUUAACUCUCUCUGUGACCCGUGGCAUACAAGCCUGGCUAACUGCUGAAAGGGGCCCAAUCCUCUUACCAUUCUCUCCUUAUCACUUUAUUUUCUCACCUAAAAGCCAUUUUCAGACACUAAAAGGAAGACUCCCAUAUUGGAGGUGCCAUUGAUUCUGAGACCUGUCCUGAUUUCAGAAAUGUCACACGUGGAAAACACGGGGCUCAGAAUCAAAGAAAUCCGGUCUCCCUCCCCGGGCCCAUUCUGCAGCCCACACUCUGAGGCAGGCGGAGAGGCAGGGCCCAGGCAGCACAAACUCAGUGCCAGGGACAGUCGACUGCCUCUCUUUGUUUUGGGUACAAAGGGCAGGGGCCGCAAGGGGAAGCAAAAUGAAACUUCCUGGAGAUGACGUUCGUGACUGCCUGAGUGAAGAGAACGGGGAGGAUACCAGCUGCCAUAAUGUGGAUUGGACAGAGAGGGUGGGAACUUAGAGAAAGAAGGAAACAGGUUACAGGGCCAGACAGCAGAGAUGGUCAGGACAGUGACAUUUGGGGUGAGAUGGCGGCUGGCUGGGUGAGAAGCCCUAGUGGGGACAGCUUCCCUGGCAGGCUUGGAUCCACAGCUGGGGCCCCACAGUAGUGGGAGGAGCAGGACACGGUGACUGUUCAACCCAGGGGGAAAAUACAGUGCCACCAGCCCUUGUUCAGAUCAGCUGCCUACACCCCAAUUUCUCCACCUUGGAAGAACCGGAGUGCAGGGAGCUGGGUUCUGGAACCAUCACUCAGGGAGACUGGGAAGAAGGAAAUGAACCAAAUAUAUUCUACUGAAAUACAAGGCUAGUACUGCCACCAGUAGUCUCUGCAUAUGUCUAUGUCCCCACUUAAUUCACAAAUUUACAGCAGGAACAAGGUCAGGAGGUGAACGUGCAUGUCAGGAGAUGUCCUUGACAAGCCACCUUGAAAACUGCAGGCUCGCUGUGUGAACAGACUUGGGGGUGGGACGGGAGGAGACAGAGAGAGGUGAGGAGCGGUGGGGAAGAACUGCCUCCCGCCCACCACUCUGGGCCUUGGCUUUACCUUGCUCCAUCUUAGUGACCCUGAGAGAUCAAAGGUCACAAAGAUAAAGGCACCUUGGGUACUCCUGAGGUCAGCAAGUCCUCCUAACGGUUCCCCUAAUGCAGAAGUCCCCAAACCCCAGGCCACGGACCAGUACCUGUCUGUGGCCUGUUAGGAACCAGGCCAAAUAGCAGGAGGUGAGCAGUGGGCAAGUGAGUGAAGCUUCAUCUGUAUUUACAGCUGCUCCCCAUCACUGGCAUUACAGCCUGAGCUCCACCUCCUGUCAGAUCCGCGGCGGCAUUAGAUUCUCACAGGAUCCUGAACCCUACCUUACGUGAACUGUGCAUGCGAGGGAUCUAGGCUGUGUGCUCCUUAUGAGAAUCUAAUGCCUGAUGAUCUGUCACUAUCUCCCAUCACCCCCAGAUGGGACCGUCUAGUUGCGGAAAACAAGUUCAUGGCUCCCACUGAUUCUACAUUAUGGUGAGAUGUAUAAUUAUUUCAUUAUAUAUUAUAAUGUAAUAAUAAUAGAAAUAAAGUGCACAGGCCGGGUGCGGUGGCUCAUGCCUGUAAUCCCAGCACUUUGGGAGGCCGAGGUGGUGGAUCACCUGAGGUCGGGAGUUCGAGACCAGCUUGACCAACAUGGAGAAACCCCAUCUCUACUAAAAAUACAAAAUUAGCCAGGCGUGGUGGCACAUGCCCGUAAUCCCAGCUACUUGGGAGGGUGGGGAGUACUGGUUUCCCUUGCCAUGUCUUUAGCUAGCAGCACAAAUCCAGGAAACCUCAUCUACCUGGCCAAGAAAACCAGGUUUGAUGCAGGAGCAGGACAGUUUGAUGUGUGUUGGGAGAAUGAGUAUAUAGGAAAAUAAUUUCUCGACUUCCUUCUCAAACACCUCCAAUGUGACAGCAAUAAGAAUAAAGUCAAGGCCGGGCGCGGUGGCUCACGCCUGUAAUCCCAGCACUUUGGAAGGCCGAGGCGGGUGGAUCACGAGGUCAGGAGAUCGAGACCA
rnacentral:lncRNA from 1 species